UUUGAAAUCUGGCUCCCCGCCACUGGGGGGGCCCGAGUUGUACUUUGCAGAGGGUGCUUUGGCGUUGGUGGCGGUCUAAGUUCCCUGGAACUGGCCAUCGCAGAGGGUGAGAGUCCCGUAUGUGGUCGCCCGCCUUCGCCGUGUAAAGCCCCUUCGACGAGUCGCGUUGUUUGGGAAUGCAGCGCUAAGUGGGAGGUAAAUUUCUUCUAAAGCUAAAUACCGGCCAGAGACCGAUAGCGCACAAGUAGAGUGAUCGAAAGAUGAAAAGCACUUUGGAAAGAGAGUCAAAUAGCACGUGAAAUUGUUGAAAGGGAAGCGCUUGCAGCCAGACGUGCCUGCAGAGGCUCAGCCGGAGGCCCCAUGGGCCCCCCGGUGCACUCUUCUGCGGGCAGGCCAGCAUCAGUUUGGGCGGCUGGAGAAUGGCCUCUGUCACGUAUCUCCUUAGAUGCCUCGCAAGAGGGGGAUGGCCUUAUAGGGGAGGCGGAGUGCAGCCAGCCUGGACUGAGGCGUCCCGCGCCGCCCGU
rnacentral:rRNA from 1 species